GACGAACGCUGGCGGCGUGCUUAACACAUGCAAGUCGAACGGAAAGGCCCUGCUUUUGUGGGGUGCUCGAGUGGCGAACGGGUGAGUAACACGUGAGUAACCUGCCCUUGACUUUGGGAUAACUUCAGGAAACUGGGGCUAAUACCGGAUAGGAGCUCCUGCUGCAUGGUGGGGGUUGGAAAGUUUCGGCGGUUGGGGAUGGACUCGCGGCUUAUCAGCUUGUUGGUGGGGUAGUGGCUUACCAAGGCUUUGACGGGUAGCCGGCCUGAGAGGGUGACCGGCCACAGUGGGACUGAGAUACGGCCCAGACUCCUACGGGGGGCAGCAGUGGGAUAUAUUGCACAAUGGGCGGAAGCCUGAUGCAGCAACGCCGCGUGCGGGGUGACGGCCUUCGGGUUGUAAACCGCUUUCGCCUGUGACGAAGCGUGAGUGACGGUAAUGGGUAAAGAAGCACCGGCUAACUACGUG
rnacentral:rRNA from 1 species